rnacentral:lncRNA from 1 species
UUCGUGUGCCCUAUUUUUACCCUGCCACUCUGUUUUUCAAUUUUACUGUGUUAGUAUGUAUUCCAUUUUAUGUUUUCUUUUUAAUAUGUUUGAAAUUAUAUGUGUUAAUUUGACCCUUAGAGGCUAGAAAUUAUGUGCUACUUUGUUGUAUAUUAUGUUUGAAAUAUUAGUGGCAAUGAUCUUUGAAGUUAUGACUUAAAAAUAUUUAUUUUGUUUUUGCAUUUUUUUAUUUAUUUUUUCCUUUACAUGUGUAUAAUAUUAAAUACUAAUUGCUUCUAAAUGUUCUCUUAGACUCUUUGAUAUAGCGGCGAUACCACUACCUGCUACACCACUAUAGUGUUUUGAGGGUCAUCCGAUACACUACGCUAUCUACUACUGACUACAUAGAUCUACUACUGACUACAAUAUACCUUGUUGUUGAGGUAUUUAGCAUAGCUAAGAAGGGCAAGUGUUGGAAACACUUGUAAGAUAAAUAUUGAUUGUCCAUGUCCAACACUUCAACCAUGAUUUAGUAGUUUAUUUUUGCUUUGAUCGUUAUAAGAAGGGAUUUUUGAGAGGUUGUAGACUGUUUAUUGGAGUGGAUGCUAGGGAGGGGCACUUCUAAUUGUUGUUGGUAGAAAUCCAAAUGAUCAAUAGUUUCUCUUAGCUUUCGGGGUGGUUGAAACUGAGACUAAGGAGUCUUGGAGAUGGUUUCUCAAUUUAUUACUAGAGUACAUUGGUCAAGAGAAGAGAUGGAUGUUCAUCUCUGACCAAUAAGUUAUGUAUUUAUGUUGUUAGUUAACUUGUCCUAUUUUAAUGUCUGAUUGAAGACCACAUGUUGGCUCUCAUUUAUAAGAAAAGACCAAGAAGGCUAAAAAAACAAAAUUAAAGAGAAGAGAACCAGACGAGGAUCUUAACCAAGUUCUGGAUGUUAAAGCUUCUGUGUUUAUUGAUGCUUCUACUUCUGUUGCGGCAUUUGUGAGCCGAAUAGCAAGCAUGGAAUCAUAUAAUAUUAAUAGUCAAUCAUUUUGUUUUGGUUUAGACAUGUCUUACUUUUUAUUUGAACUUUGAGAUUUGUUGAAUGUUAGUGUUAGAGAUUUGUGACAGGUUAAAUAUAAGUUGCAUUUCCUUUGAAUUUGACAAACAGAUUUUAUUUUGCAGAAAUUGAAAAAAACAAAACCAAAAAUUGUAAGGAAAGUAGUUGUUAAAAAUGUGAGGAGAAGCAAUAGAUUAAAGACUACUUUAAAAGGUGUUUGCAAGUCCAUUUCAAAUAGAUGACGAUGAUCAUGAAGCGAGUCCAUUAAUAGUUGAUGAUACAGGAAGUUCACAAUCAAUUUUUGAUGAUCUUGUUAUUUUGAAUUUAUAUUUUGGAUGAACAAGGAUUUUUAUUUUGGUUGACUGUUUAUGUAUUUUGGAUAAGUAAUAAGGUGUGGUUAUAUGUAUUUUGGUACUGAAGGAUUUUUUUUUGUAUUUUGGUGAUGUAAGACAAUAAGAUUCUAAUUCAUAUUGAAC